rnacentral:rRNA from 1 species
UAAAGAGCUUGUAGGCGGUUCGUCGCGUCGUUUGUGAAAACUUGGGGCUCAACCUUAAGCUUGCAGGCGAUACGGGCGGACUAGAGUACUUCAGGGGAGACUGGAAUUCCUGGUGUAGCGGUGAAAUGCGCAGAUAUCAGGAGGAACACCGGUGGCGAAGGCGGGUCUCUGGGAAGUAACUGACGCUGAGAAGCGAAAGCAUGGGCAGCAAACAGGAUUAGAUACCCUGGUAGUCCAUGCCGUAAACGGUGGGUACUAGGUGUGGGGCUCCUUCCACGGACUCCGUGCCGUAGCUAACGCAUUAAGUACCCCGCCUGGGGAGUACGGCCGCAAGGCUAAAACUCAAAGAAAUUGACGGGGGCCCGCACAAGCGGCGGAGCAUGUGGAUUAAUUCGAUGCAACGCGAAGAACCUUACCUGGGUUUGACAUACACCGGAAACCUGCAGAGAUGUAGGCCCCCUUGUGGUCGGUGUACAGGUGGUGCAUGGCUGUCGUCAGCUCGUGUCGUGAGAUGUUGGGUUAAGUCCCGCAACGAGCGCAACCCUUAUCUUAUGUUGCCAGCGCGUAAUGGCGGGGACUCGUGAGAGACUGCCGAGGUCAACUCGGAGGAAGGUGGGGACGACGUCAAGUCAUCAUGCCCCUUAUGUCCAGGGCUUCACACAUGCUACAAUGGCCGGUACAGAGGGCUGCGAUACCGUGAGGUGGAGCGAAUCCCUUAAAGCCGGUCUCAGUUCGGAUCGGGGUCUGCAACUCGACCCCGUGAAGUUGG